rnacentral:siRNA from 1 species
AAUAGACGAUCGGUUGGUUAGAC